AUGGCACUGAAAAUGUCACCUCAGCCACUGCCUGCAGGAUGGAGUCCCCUUUCCACUUGGACAAUGGAGCCAGAGCAUCCUGCACAAGGAUCAUCCCUCAAUGCCCCUGCCAGGCGAAAAGCAAACCCCAGCAGCCUGAAUAGAGCCAGCCCUCCCUGCUGCAGGUGCAGCAAGGACUUUGAAACACUGAUCUCACUUUGCUGGGAAAGUGGAAUUCAUAACUUGAGGAGCAACACAGUCACAGCUUUGUCCAGGACAGAGAAACCUCUGGCUGAUGCAGAGGAGGCUGAGCAGGGCAGGGCAUCACAGAGGCAACAGGAGGAAAAGCCAGGUUGGUCCUGCAGCCUCCCCAGGGACAGGAGUGCUGCCCCAGGAUGGAGCAGAGCACAUCUGUGUGAUGGGACAAGGCAGAGGGCAAAGGUUUUACACGGAUUCGUGCUGUGCCAGCAGCCACAAAUGAUUCAGCCAUGAUUUGCUGCCUCUCCCUCUCUUCGCAGGAGGAAGGGAAAAAAAAAAAAAAAAAAAAAAAAAAAAAAAGGUUUGGUUUCAUAUAAUUAACUGGCUUUGUGGAUCUGCUUGGUUCUAUUGAUUCCUCCCAUUGACUCCAGCGCUGCCUGCGAGCUGCCGGCCCCUCCCUGGGCUCAGCGAGCCACGCUGGCUCCUGCAGCUGGAUUUGGGUCCAGGACAAGCCCAGGGCAAGGCUGGAGCAGAGGGACCCGCGGAGGAGCUGCACAGCUGUCACCCAGCCCCUCUGCCAGCGCUGCCGGAGCUCCUGCUCCGCUGUCCCCACCCUCUGCCCCGCCACCCAGCUCUCAGAAAACAGCGCUGUCCCAGUUUUGCAGCCUCCCAGGGAUUAUUUGUGCCGUGCCCCAACUCCACCCGGCUCUCCGCGGCGAGCGCACGAAGCGGGUCGGGGGGUGCGGGUCCUGCGGGGCACAGAGGGGCUGCAGGGGGAGCAGAGCAGCCCCCCCAGCCCAGCCCAGCCCAGCCCAGCCCAGCCCGGCCCAGCCCGGCCUCGCUGCGGGACCCGGCGGGGGAACCCUGGAUCCGCCAAGACAAACAGCAGCGCCCCGAGCUCCGCACGUUCGCGGGGACACGGCGCAGAAACGGACACGGCACGGAACGGGCACAUCUGGAGCUCAGCCAGGGCUGGGAAAGCUCCGGGAAAGGCAGCAGGAGGGAGGGGUGAUAAGGGGGUGGGUGGCAGCAGCCACGCCACAUCCCCGAUGCAAGGGGAGACCUCCUGGAGCUGGCUGCCCCCAGCUUUCCUCCAGCUGUUGCUCAAUGCCGCAAACCAGCCGAGGGGACCUGGAGAAGCCCUUGAUCUCCCAAGAGCUCUGAAACCUUGGCUCUGCUGACAGCCGGCUCCAGCCAGAGCAAACACCACAUCUGCACAAGCCCCGUGUGCCACGAGCAGUGUGUCACUGGGUCACCCUGGCAGAACGGCAGGGAGGAAAUUUCGGUCUUUGUUUUACGGCUGUUGCCAGGGAUCACCCGCAAGCCCUCCACGGGCGCCUGGAAACACACCGAAGUUAAAAUAUUAAAAAGAAAAAAAAAAAAAAAAAAAGGGGGGGGGGGGGGGGGGGGGGGGGGGGGGGGGGGGGGGGGGGAAAAAAAAAAAAAAAAAAAAAAAAAGAAAAAAAAAGAGAAAAAAUCCAGAAAGAAAAUCACUUUCAAAAAUAGACAAACCCACAACAGUUCGGAAGACGCCGCGGAGCACGCAGGAUGCAGGGGACACAGGGAUCUUCCCUAGGCACCGAGCACUAUCCAGGGAGCAGAAAGCAGGAGCUGGGUGGUCCCUUUGCCCCGGGACUCCGCGACCAACAGGUCCCACGGCCCCGGUGCCAAAGCUGCAGAAGCGGGGACGCUUCACCGGGGUGCGCAACGCCCGCCCGCAUCCCCCGGGCAUCCCCCGGCCGCGGGCAUCCCCGGAGCAUCCCCACGCUGGCAUGGGCACGGUGGGACCCCCUGGGGACACCCCUGAGCGGCACCCCCAGCAGCGCUGCCGCCCUCUUUCUCCUCCUCCUCCUCCGUCCUCCCUUCCCGGAGCUCCGCGCGGAGCGGGGGGGGGGGGGGGGGGGGGGGGGGGGGGGGGGGGGGGGGGGGGGGGGGGGGGGGGGGGGGGGGGGGGGGGGGGGG
rnacentral:lncRNA from 1 species